GUCAAGUUUAUAUCUUAAUUCUCCCCUCUGAUUGGCAAAGGAUCAUGUUCUGCUCAUGCUCGAAAACAGUUUCUAGCAUAUGUUGAAAAAGCAAAGACUACCGGAUGGUUGGAUUCAUCAUUUCAUUAUGGCAAUUCCAUAAACGGUAAAGAGAAUGGGGCCUGCCAAUAAUAAUGAGUAAGUUUUCUCAUCCUUUGCUGUACCCUAUUUUAUAUAACAUUAGAUAUACUAAAAUGGUUAUGAUGUUGGAAUUUGAAUCCCAGAUGCCACGUCUUGAAGGUGUUUGCAUGAGCCAUAGGUUGAAUGCAAAUUUUGAUUCCAAUUUAUUAAUCCCGAUCAUUCCACUCUUAUCAGAGCUGACAUGCUCAAUUGUUUUUACUCUUAAAAUUAAUCACUCGUAGGUUUACAGGGAAGUUGAGUUCCUUCUAGUUGUGCCCUGGUAUUGCAGAGAAUAAGUUAAGAAUUGACUUAAAUUUAAACAUUUGCCUGACACACGCUGCAUUAUUGUUGAAGUCAGCAUGUUUUGUUUUGUUUUGUUUUUGCCAUUACAGCUGCUAUAGUUAUGUAAAGAGAAUGGGGCCUGCCAAUAAUAAUGAGCAUGUAGGCACUAAAUCUGCAGUUCAAAUUCGAAGUCAUGCUCAAAAGUUUUUCUCUAAGGCUCAUUGCUUUGAGUUCAUUACAAGAUUUCCUUGAUUAAGUAAAUGUAUUAUAUCUUUUAUUACCAAGAUUUACUUGAUUAAGAAAAUGCAUUGUAUUUUUUAUUACCUUGCAAUGUGUAUAGUUAUAGGCAGGUUCAACUAGUCAGUCUGUUUCUCAUAUGUAUUAUUUAUUUUAGUUUUGAUUCUAAAUUUUUAUUUUUACUUUAAUAUUUACGAAAAA
rnacentral:lncRNA from 1 species